rnacentral:rRNA from 1 species
UACGUAGGGUGCGAGCGUUGUCCGGAAUUAUUGGGCGUAAAGAGCUUGUAGGCGGUUUGUCGCGUCUGCUGUGAAAAUCCGAGGCUCAACCUCGGACUUGCAGUGGGUACGGGCAGACUAGAGUGUGGUAGGGGAGACUGGAAUUCCUGGUGUAGCGGUGGAAUGCGCAGAUAUCAGGAGGAACACCGAUGGCGAAGGCAGGUCUCUGGGCCACUACUGACGCUGAGAAGCGAAAGCAUGGGGAGCGAACAGG